CGAUAUGACCCUGGUUGUGGUCCCUCGGUUGAGUAUACUCACUAUCUCGCUCUAAUAAUUGAGCCCUGUUUACAACAUCUGAAUAGAGAGAAAAUUUAUGAGAAAUGAGAUAUUGUCGUAUGUCGGGUUUCAAACCUCUCAGAAACAUCCGCGUCAUACGUUCCUCAUUCUCCACCAAAUGAGGUGCAAUCCUGGAUAACUCUGCGAACUUUGCCUCGUACUGGGACACCGUC
rnacentral:lncRNA from 1 species